rnacentral:rRNA from 1 species
CCUACGGGAGGCAGCAGUGAGGAAUAUUGGUCAAUGGACGAGAGUCUGAACCAGCCACGCAGCGUGAAGGAUGACUGCCCUAUGGGUUGUAAACUUCUUUUAUAUGGGAAUAAAAUGUUCCACGUGUGGGAUUGUGUACUUACCAUACGUAUAAGGAUCGGCUAACUACGUGCCAGCAGCCGCGGUAAUACGGAGGAUACGAGCGUUAUCCGGAUUGAUUGGGUUUAAAGGGAGCGUAGGUGGAUUGUUAAGUCAGUUGUGAAAGUUUGUGGCUCAACCGUAAGAUUGCAGUUGAAACUGGCAGUCUUGAGUACGGUAGAGGUAGGCGGAAUUCGUGGUGUAGCGGUGAAAUGCGUAGAUAUCACGAAGAACACCGAUUGCGAAGGCAGUUCACUGGA